GACGUAGGGUGCGAGCGUUGUUCGGAUUUACUGGGCGUAAAGGGCGCGUAGGCGGCCACUGCAAGUCAGUUGUGAAAUCUCCGGGCUUAACUCGGAAAGGUCAACUGAUACUGCAGGGCUAGAGUGCAGAAGGGGCAACUGGAAUUCUCGGUGUAGCGGUGAAAUGCGUAGAUAUCGAGAGGAACACCUGCGGCGAAGGCGGGUUGCUGGGCUGACACUGACGCUGAAGCGCGAAAGCCAGGGGAGCGAACGGG
rnacentral:rRNA from 1 species